ACGGGUGAGGAAUGCGUCGGAAUCUGCCUAUUUGUGGGGGAUAACGUAGGGAAACUUACGCUAAUACCGCAUACGACCUACGGGUGAAAGUGGGGGACCGCAAGGCCUCACGCAGAUAGAUGAGCCGACGCCGGAUUAGCUAGUUGGCGGGGUAAAGGCCCACCAAGGCGACGAUCCGUAGCUGGUCUGAGAGGAUGAUCAGCCACACUGGAACUGAGACACGGUCCAGACUCCUACGGGAGGCAGCAGUGGGGAAUAUUGGACAAUGGGCGCAAGCCUGAUCCAGCCAUGCCGCGUGUGUGAAGAAGGCCUUCGGGUUGUAAAGCACUUUUGUCCGGAAAGAAAACCUUUCGAUUAAUACUCGGGGGGAAUGACGGUACCGGAAGAAUAAGCACCGGCUAACUUCGUGCCAGCAGCCGCGGUAAUACGAAGGGUGCAAGCGUUACUCGGAAUUACUGGGCGUAAAGCGUGCGUAGGUGGUUUGUUAAGUCUGAUGUGAAAGCCCUGGGCUCAACCUGGGAACUGCAUUGGAAACUGGCUUACUAGAGUGCGGUAGAGGGUAGUGGAAUUCCCGGUGUA
rnacentral:rRNA from 5 species